UCACUAUUCUGAUGGAUCAUAUGAAAGUCACGUGAAACAGGGUUACUGUUACACGUUAAUACUCUGUGCCUUAAAUCCAAGGAUCUACCAGCUAGGACAUACCUCCUUCAAUUAACUGCCUUGUGUCCACAAAAGCAUUGCUGACAACACUUAUGGUGGACACAGACUCUAUUCUGCAAGUCACAUUUGCAGUUAGCCCCCUGUUUCAAGUCCUUCCUUGAUGAAUGUUCCUUCAGGUACAACCCUGACCCUAUCCACAUGAAAAAAGAAAAAAAUGGUAAGAUUCUGCCUAACAUGUUUGGAAGAAAUUGCCAUUGAUGCUAUACAGUUCUUGAAGACAGACAGCACUCAGGAGUCGAAGCUGGCUUGGAUCUCUGUGAUUUUGAGAUCUGCCUGUUCUACACAGAGAGGCUCAUGUUAGCCAGGUACCAUAGGGAAUCGUCUCUCAAAAUAUAAAAUACAAAAUGGGCAUUCAGGAUAUUUCCCUGUCUCAUUUCCUGAUUCAACCUGGCAUCAUUGAUCUGCAUGAGAAACAAGGCAUGAGCACAGGUGAUUCCCAUAAACUGAAAAUCCCUGUAAUCCACUAUGCAAGCUGCUACUUGUUCUGUGCACAUGGUACUCAUCAGACGGUCAGAGUUCUAGAAGGGAUGUGACAGCAUGACCUACCUGUCAUCAUGCAGGAAUGAAGAUGUGCUCAACAAAUUCAAUUUGCACCAUUGCUUGAGAAAAUGCCAGGAUCAGAUGAUCAGAAGGUAAGCUGGAUGCCAAGCUCAAAAGAAGAUAGAACUUCUCUUUCCACACAUCUGCAGUCUCAUUCUGUCAGUACUCUUCAGUCAAGCAGGUCAAUGGUAACUGUCCCUCUGUGCUGGCUAUUCUAGCAUAGGCCACCUGAUAUGCUCCUUUUUCUUCAGGACAUCAAGACCAGGCUUCUGAAUCUCACCCUCUCCCACAAAAAGAUACUUACUGUACUCAAUCUUAAAUUCAGUAAUGAUUCACACAGAUCAGGGCCUGGGAAUCCCUGUUGAGUUCAGUUCCCCUUAAGAACUCACUGAGCUGCUCCCUACCUAAAGGUUUCCGGGAAAACAGUUCACACUACACUCGCCACUGCUUCACACUGAAUCUGUGGCUGUCUUCAAGGGUUGCAUCAUGAUCAAGGAUUCCUUAAGGUGGAAGACGGACCACUGAAUUGUCCUCCACAGCAUGCUCUCAUAAUGACCUGUGGAACCUCUCAGCUCCUCUGGACCUCAGGAAUGACACAGUAAUCUUCCAGGAAAUGAGAGUGUUCUCAGCAGAAGAGCCCAGUGGGGAUGGCAUAUACAAACAUAGGUGACAGUGAUGACAUUUCACAUCAAAUCCCUUUCAUGAACCUUUGCCCCUUCAAAAAGAGUAAUAAAGUAACAGAAAAUCUUACUCUGAUAGACAGGAGAAACUUUGAUCUUCUCAGGGUGAUGGACACAUAUACAUUAACUGCUUCCAGCUGAAUGUAUGUGGGUUUUUUACAGACUAUCACUUCAGCCCUCAAUAUUUAUAGUACUUUUACAUUUUCCUGAUGGAUAACAGCAUUACUACUGACAGACCCAAGCCUUUUAUGUUGACAUUUAGAGCGUGACAUUCAGAGGACAGCAGACAGCUGACAUUGUGAUGUUCUACAUCUCGCACCAUAUGAACAAUCUCAUUUCUGGAGGUCAUGAGACUUAAGUCAUCACUGUCAAUUUGAGAGUUUAUGGGACUCUGACAUGUUCCUGUCUGCUCUAAGUAGCAGCAGUGAAAAUUUUCGCACAUUUCUAUAGUCAACCAAAGUCCUUACAUCUUCAGAAUGUCCUGGCCCUUGCACACCCUCAUUUUGUUUUUGUCUCCUACACCCAUCAUUUAACUCUGAGAACAUGGGCUCCAUGACUGACCCUGAUCAUGUUAAAAAAAAGUCCUUGUUGAGGCUCCUUUUUGUUGUCCUUAUUGAUUGCAAACAUUUUCUAAUGCAAUCUGGAAUACAUGGAUUGAGCACUGUUUUUGUGUAAAAUGGGGGAUAGAUAGUAUCUAUGGCCUAGUACAUACUGGGUACUGAGGAGGAUGGAAUUCAGUUAGGGAAGAUGGAGUUCUGAUUCAAGGAAAGUUCAAGGACUGUCAAAGCAGUUGUUGGGCCUGUAAAUGGCAGAUCAGGCUCAAGUCAAGUUUACUUUGUUUUCAGGUGUUAGUUACUGGGACGGCCACCAGGGUAGCACAGAUUUAUAGCGCAAGGCAGCAGCUUUUCUUACCAAGGGUCAAGCUCACCCCACAUUCUAAAGUCUUCUGAGCAUUUCAGUUCUGGGAAGGGGAGACCCUGGAGAAACUAGUGCAGUAGAAGAUUUUUAUGCAUGUGUUCCCUGAGCUUUGAGUUUCUGAGGUUCAUUCACAAUGCUGAUUUAAAGGGAAGAGUUUGCGUUAAAGGUGGGGGAUCUAGAAGACUUACUGAGAACUGGAAAUGAGUAGUGAUCUCUGUUUGUCCUCUCAACAGAACCUGGAAAUUCCAGAGAAGUUAGCAAUGCAGGUUGAGUCAGAAUCGUCAGUACUUAGUAUGCAUCAGUGUACUACACCGGUGUCCAGGACUGACUCCUUGUGUGUAGCAUGCAGGAGGGACAGGACAGCUGAAGGUGAAGACAAACACACUGUCCCUCUUUGGGAGCAGGGAACCCAUGUCUGAAAUGAGGCACAGACUCUCAAGUCCGAGUUGAUGGAUUCCUACUUAGAUAGAUGGAAAAACCAAUGUGUGUUCUCUGGUCAUACCUCAGGUUCUUUCAGAAAUCGAUAGCAAAAUCCCACAGGACACACAACAUAACAGCAUCCUUCAGUGUUCUCUCAGGAAAAGUAGAGCGAGAUGAAAGGGGCAAAGCCCCUUAGAUCUGUGGCCUUGUGCAAAUUAGAUAAGCAUCCUGUGUCUGAAAUGAGGAACAGACACUGAAAGUCGGAGUUGAUGGAUUCCUACUUAGAUGGAAAAACCACUGUGUGUUCUCUGCGAGGAGGAGGAAACAAGGGAAGGAGCUUCAUUGGUCCUCAUGGGGGAAUCAUUUCACCAGGAGAACAACCUGAAGGGAUGUACAGAUUAACCACAGCUAGAAAUCUCCAGCCUGUGUCUCCUGAUGUAUAGAGUUCAUCACUUUAAACACAAGGACACGUGGACAGGAUGGACAGGGAAUCUGAGAUAUGCAGCACUCAGUCUCCACUGUUCUUGCCCCACUGCACAUCCCUCUCCCCAUGGAGACUCCAUUCUGUCUCUCCCAUCCCCUCUAAAUCCUCCCUCUGCAAAUUGUCUCUUACUCCCAGUGUAUCCCAUGUUC